UACGGAGGGUGCGAGCGUUAAUCGGAAUUACUGGGCGUAAAGAGUACGUAGGUGGUUUGAUAAGCGAGAUGUGAAAGACCUGGGCUUAACCUGGGAAGUGCAUUUCGAACUGUCGGGCUAGAGUAUAGUAGAGGGUGGUAGAAUUUCCGGUGUAGCGGUGAAAUGCGUAGAGAUCGGAAGGAAUAUCGGUGGCGAAGGCGGCCACCUGGACUGAUACUGACACUGAGGUACGAAAGCGUGGGUAGCAAACAGG
rnacentral:rRNA from 1 species